GACCAGCACCCCGAGUGGUCGGGACGUUUAUUGGGCCUAAAGCAUCCGUAGCCGGUUCUACAAGUCUUCCGUUAAAUCCACCUGCUUAACAGAUGGGCUGCGGAAGAUACUAUGGAGCUAGGAGGCGGGAGAGGCAAGCGGUACUCGAUGGGUAGGGGUAAAAUCCGUUGAUCCAUUGAAGACCACCAGUGGCGAAGGCGGCUUGCCAGAACGCGCUCGACGGUGAGGGAUGAAAGCUGGGGGAGCAAACCGG
rnacentral:rRNA from 1 species